GCUCACCCUCUGAGGUAACAGGGGCUCAAAUCAAGGGGCUGAAUCACAAUUGUUCAGCGCCGUACAAAGACAAAAUAAAAAAAAACAGCAAACAAGGUCUGCAUCCUCAGCCUUGAACAGAGACAUAAAGCACAGAACAACCAAACUCCCUGUGGAGGACCACUUUCCUCAAACCUGUCAUUAAUUGACAAGACAGGAGGACAACAGUAUAUUCCUGUGUGUGUGAAAAAACAAUAACAACCCAGCACUUAUAGAGGAUACAUAGGCUACAGAGACCCAUUCUGCCAGACAUGAAUAGAGCACAGAGACCCAUGCUGCUCGACAUGAAUAGAGGAGCACAGAAACCCAUGCUGCCAGACAUGAAUAGAGGAACACAGAGACCCAUGCUGCCAGACAUGAAUAGAGGAACACAGAGACCCAUGUUGCCAGACAUGAAUAGAGGAACACAGAGACCCAUGCUUCCAGACAUGAAUAGAGGAGCACAGAGACCCAUGCUGCCAGACAUGAAUAGAGGAACACGGAGACCCAUGCUGCCAGACAUGAAAAGAGCACAGAGACCCAUGCUGCCAGACAUGAAUAGAGGAACACAGAGACCCAUGCUGCCAGACAUGAAUAGAGGAGUACAGAGACCCAUGCUGCCAGACAUGAAUAGAGCACAGAGACCCAUGCUGCCAGACAUGAAUAGAGCACAGAUACCCAUGUUGCCAGACAUGAAUAGAGGAACACAGAGACCCAUGCUGCCAGACAUGAAUAGAGCACAGAGACCCAUGUUGCCAGACAUGAAUAGAGGAACACAGAGACCCAUGCUGCCAGACAUGAAUAGAGGAGCACAGAGACCCAUGUUGCCAGACAUGAAUAGAGGAACACAGAGCCCAUGCAGGCAGAGUGGAGUAGAGGAGUAUUGGGUUCUGCGGUGAUGAUGAAAAUAUAUUUGCUGGAACCUGGCAGUGGUAAGUGGCUGAUGAAUAAGAGUAGUCAGACCCCGUGAGGAGCAGUCACCCACUGCUAUACCACGUACACACACACACACACACACACACACACACACACACACACACACACACACACACGGGAAGAGGGAGCAUGUCCCACUGUUAAACCGCAUCACCAUAGAGGAAGCCCCAGCCCUCCUCAGACCCCAGCCCUCCCCUGCCUACUUGGCAUGUUUAUUAGGACUUUAUAUUGACUCCAGGAUUUGGUGCUUGGGGCUGGCCAGUUGAUUUAAAAGGCUUUUUAUCGAUGUCAUCUGGAGGACUGAGGUGAGUGACAUUUACAGGUAAAUUCUUCCCCCAUACUGCCAGUCCAUUACAAUAAUAAUGGUUUUCCUGGGUCCUUCCACUGGUUAACUGACCAAAUCUCUGUAGUACCUGCAUGGUGCAUGGUGCUGGGAAGAGAUCAAUCUUAUGUAGGAUGGCCAUCGACUGUGACCAUGUGGGUACCCUUCAUUUGGUUGGAGGGGAGUUAACAUCCUUCCCUAACAGCUUUCCCAAUGGGGAGACAGUUUGAUGAUUAUUUUAGCACAACUGAAAUGCCACACAUACUGUAAAGCUUCUCAUGAAUGCAUGUGUCAAACUCAAGGCCUGUGGGCCAGAUCCGGCCCGCAAACCCAUUUUGAGUAAAAAUAAAUAAAUAAAAUAUGAUUUCAAUUAUUUAAACAAUUCUAGGAAAAAAACAACAUUGAAAUGACUAAAAUCAAAAGGAAAC
ensembl:lncRNA